GAGCCCUAGGACAUCCACGGUAGUUCGC
rnacentral:sRNA from 1 species